rnacentral:rRNA from 1 species
UACGGAGGGUGCAAGCGUUGUCCGGAUUCAUUGGGUUUAAAGGGUGCGCAGGCGGGACAUUAAGUCAGGGGUGAAAUCCUGGAGCUCAACUCCAGAACUGCCUUUGAUACUGAAGAUCUUGAGUUCGGGAGAGGUGAGUGGAACUGCGAGUGUAGAGGUGAAAUUCGUAGAUAUUCGGAAGAACACCAGUGGCGAAGGCGGCUCACUGGACCGGUAUUGACGCUGAGGUGCGAAAGCGUGGGGAGCAAACAGG